CCUACGGGAGGCUGCAGUGGGGAAUAUUGCGCAAUGGGCGAAAGCCUGACGCAGCGACGCCGCGUGAGGGAUGAAGGUCUUCGGAUCGUAAACCUCUGUCAGCAGGGAAGAACGGUCACUGUGCUAAUCAGCAGUGAAUUGACGGUACCUGCAAAGGAAGCACCGGCUAACUCCGUGCCAGCAGUCGCGGUAAUACGGAGGGUGCUAGCGUUAAUCGGAAUUACUGGGCGUAAAGCGCUCGUAGGCGGUAUGUCAAGUCAAGGGUGAAAUGCCGGGGCUCAACGUGGGAACUGCCUUUGAAACUGGCAGACUGGAGUGUGUGAGAGGAGAGUGGAAUUCCAGGUGUAGGAGUGAAAUCCGUAGAUAUCUGGAGGAACAUCGGUGGCGAAGGCGACUAUCUGGCACAUAACUGACGCUGAGGAGCGAAAGCGUGGGUAGCAAACAGGAUUAGAUACCCGAGUAGUC
rnacentral:rRNA from 1 species